AUACUUACCUGGCAGGGGAGAUACUAUGAUCAAGAAGGUAGUUCACCCAGGGCAAGGCUCAGUCAUUGCACUCUGGCUGUGCAAUGAGCCCUGCGAAUUCCCAAUGUGGGAAUCUCAGCUGCAUAAUUUCUGGUAGUGGGAGACUGUGUUUGCACUCUCCCCUG